AUGUGGAAGGCGUGUUAAUAUCAAAAGAAGUGGUUCAUUGGAGUUCAUAUUUGGAAACUAGCUAUCCCCAGAAGCAAUAUUGGAGGUUUAAAUAUGUAAUGUCAACAAAAAUUUAAGUAGGAAAAUCCCGUUUUUUGUCUCCGUAGGGUCAUUUUUCUUUUCUUUUUCUUGGUAUGGCUCAUUUGGUGAUCAGUUUGGCAGUGGAAUGUAGUGAAGAGAAAAUCAAGGACAAGGCUACGAUUUGAGCCUGGCAUAGCUGUAAAAAAUCACGAGAGAGAGAGCCUUAAAAACAUACAAAAACAGACCUCCACAGACUUUAAGAGCGGCCCACAUGGAGAGAGGGAAAGAAAGUUGAAACUUCUGAGAGAAGAAUUUCAGAAGUGUUUAAAAUUGAUGAUAAGAAAAGCGACUCAUGAAGAAACCAUUCUCCACUGAGGGCUGAGAAAACAGGUACCAACCAUCCAACUUAAAACCAAAGAGAACAUCAUCUAGCACCCUCGUGUCAAGCCCACUUCCACUCCCAGACCUGUUCCACCCUCUACCACUUAACUGCUGUGAGUGCAUCAAUGGCAAAACACUGAUUGAUUGAUACAUUGAGGAAAGGAUGCUGUUUC